rnacentral:lncRNA from 1 species
CCUAAGUGCAGUGAGUUGCUUGCAAGUCACUGUGGCGGUCUCAGGUUGGAGGGACAUUUAUACCCAUAUCCCAUCGGAGCAAAUCUUGACAACAGAAAUAGCUCCGGAGUCGGUCAUGUUUAGUGCAGAUGUACCAUUACAUCUCACCUGUAUGCCAUACCAAUGUCUCCACACUCCUUAGUUAUGAGGACAACCAACCC